GGCGCCGUGGUCCGGGCUGGUGUAGUCGUGGGUGGCGGGGUCUCGGUUGUGUGGCUCCAGCUCCUGGCUGUCCUUCGCAGCACGGCGGAACAGGCCUGCGUCGUGCCUGGCCGGAGUCAGCCCUGCAGUCUCACAACCCUGACCAGCUGUGGAAGUUUUGAUUUUUCUCGGGUUCCCCCCACGACAUCUAAAGUCCCUCUUUUCCCUUAAGGUUGUGUGGCUGAACACCGACUCUGUUUGAUCAGCUCCACCUUGGGCUCACAGUGCUACUGCUUCCCUGUUCUGGGUGGCUGAACUUUAGCCCGCUCACAAGGAAUAAACACCAGCCAGGUCGGAAAAUAUUAUUCACUGUCUCAGCCACCCAACACAGGCCAAGCCAGGAGAUCUGGAUUGUUCAGGCAACACUUAAUCAGCACCGUCCCUUGUUCCGUCAUCACAGAGCACCAGGCUGGGCUCCCUGAAACACAGUUUUAAAGCUGCUCCCAGUUCAGACUCCCUGACCAGGCUUCACAC
ensembl:lncRNA